rnacentral:rRNA from 1 species
UGGGGAAUUUUGGGCAAUGGGCGAAAGCCUGACCCAGCAACGCCGCGUGAAGGAUGAAGUAUUUCGGUAUGUAAACUUCGAAAGAAUAGGAAGAAUAAAUGACGGUACUAUUUAUAAGGUCCGGCUAACUACGUGCCAGCAGCCGCGGUAAUACGUAGGGACCAAGCGUUGUUCGGAUUUACUGGGCGUAAAGGGCGCGUAGGCGGCAAUUCAAGUCAUCUGUGAAAUCUCCGGGCUUAACUCGGAACGGUCAGAUGAUACUGCUUUGCUAGAGUGCAGAAGGGGCAAUCGGAAUCCUUGGUGUAGCGGUGAAAUGCGUAGAUAUCAAGAGGAACACCUGAGGUGAAGACGGGUUGCUGGGCUGACACUGACGCUGAGGCGCGAAAGCCAGGGGAGCAAACGGGAUUAGAUACCCAUGUAGUCCCUGAGCGGGCUGGCAAGGCGCAU